rnacentral:rRNA from 1 species
AGCAGCCGCGGUAAUUCCAGCUCCAAUAGCGUAUAUUAAAGUUGUUGCAGUUAAAAAGCUCGUAGUUGAAUUUCGGGGUUAGUAGGCUGGUCGUGCCACUGGUACGUACUGGUCUCACUGAUUCCUCCUUCCUGAUGAACUGUAAUGCCAUUAAUUUGGUGUUGCAGGGAAACUGGACUGUUACUUUGAAAAAAUUAGAGUGUUUAAAGCAAGCUAACGCUUGAAUACAUUAGCAUGGAAUAAUGAAAUAGGACGUUCGAUCCUAUUUUGUUGGUUUCUAGGAUUGACGUAAUGAUUAAUAGGGAUAGUUGGGGGCAUUAGUAUUCAAUUGUCAGAGGUGAAAUUCUUGGAUUUAUUGAAGACUAACUACUGCGAAAGCAUUUGCCAAGGAUGUUUUCAUUAAUCAAGAACGAAAGUUAGGGGAUCGAAGACGAUCAGAUACCGUCGUAGUCUUAACCAUAAACUAUGCCGACUAGGAAUCAGACGAUGUUAAUUUUUUAAUGACUCGUUUGGCACCUUA